GCAGGCUCAGAGAGCCAAGCCUAGCAACAUGACCAACACAAAUACUGCACCCAGGAGGAGUAGUAUGAGGAAAUUAGAGAAUAAAAAGGACAUCAUGGCCCUCUGGCUUCUGAGGAUUGCUGCCUGCUGAUGCUGUCGAUUGAAAGGAGAGCUUAUGCAAUGAUCUUGAAAUCCUGGCGUUAUUAGAGUUGUUGUCCUUCGUGCUCAAAGAGGACCAGAAUGACAUCACUAUGUCGGAGACGAGGUGCACAGCUGAUCAGACCAAUAGGAGCUCGGAAGGCUUGACCACAGGAAGCAAGCUAGAUGAACACACCACAUCUGCCAGUUUCUUUUUUUCUCCAGUAUCAGGCUGAGAAGAGAAAAAUAUAAUGGCUCUCAGGGGAAGGAAGAAAUUAAAAGCAGUUCUAAACUAAUGCAUUCAAAAGGAGAACCAAGCCCCAAGAUUACUUACAUAGUCUUUGCUCCUCUACACAACUUUCAGCAGAUAUUUUACUCCUAUGAGUCUAAGGAGAAAGGAUUGAUUUAGAUAUGUUUCUCUUGACUGCUAAUGUGGAGAAAGGUAAACCUGAGAGAAUCAAGCGCAAUUUAGGGGAACAAAAUUUCAUCCACCAGCUGCUGGUAAGAGCUAUAAUGAUGUUUCAACAUUCUGCUUUCAAUAGAACAUUAUUUAUGCUCUUCCCAAACCUUUAGAGAAGCUAUUACAAUUGCUCCUGGCACGCAGAGAAGGCUUUUCAAGGGGUAGAGAGAAAAAUUAAAUUGAAUGUUUUAUUUCCUCAAAACUAUAGGUAGAAAAGGGGUAACAUUUCACGACAUAUGCAAAUGCUAUCACAAGUCAGGUUCAACAUUCAGAGAUUCAAAAAAGAGAAUGACAAAUUUAUGAAGCAUGGUGAUAGCUCUUCUGAUAGAUUAAAGAGGCAACAUGAACUAGCGGAAAGAAAGAUCCUUGAUCUUCCAGUCAGAAAACCUGAGUUCAAAUCUAAGUUCUGACACUGCACAACUGGGCAAGUCAUUUGAACUCCAUAAUCCCAAAAAGCCUUAUUUGUCAGAAGACUGAUACACACAUUUUAAUGGAAGUGCUUUGCAAACUUUAAAACUGCUUCACAAACAUGAAUUGUAAGGACUGUAAUGCUAAAAUAAGUCCUGAAAAUAGAGAAAAGCUAAUGAAAGGGCUUUGUGGCUGGCACCUAAAGCAACAAGGAGCUGAGGAUGAAAGGAAAUAAGAUAUAAUGAAAUAUACAUAUGCCAGAAAAUGUGAUGUGUUAGAAUGUUUCUUUUUUCAUUUAGAGAUGGAUAUGUUUGUUUAAUACUAAUAGUUUUGUAUACCCUGAUUUUUAAAAUACCUAUCAUGAAUAGAAGAUGGGAUAAAUAGUUC